UCUUCUAUAGCUCAACGGAUAGGGCGCCGAGAAUCAGCAAUUCAUCGGAAAAGUUGUUAUACGGUAAUAUUCUCGGAGAUGUUGGUUCGAUCCCAACCCGAAGAG